GAUGAACGCUAGCGGCAGGCUUAACACAUGCAAGUCGAGGGGCAGCACGGUAGCAAUACUGGUGGCGACCGGCAAACGGGUGCGGAACACGUACAGAACCUACCUUUAUCUGGGGCAUAGCCCGAAGAAAUUCGGAUUAACUCCCCAUAAUACUAUCGGGUGGCAUCAUUUGGUAGUUAAAAUUACAUUGGAUAGAGAUGGCUGUGCGUCCCAUUAGCUAGUUGGUAGGGUAACGGCCUACCAAGGCGACGAUGGGUAGCUGGUGUGAGAGCACGACCAGCCACGCGGGCACUGAGACACGGGCCCGACUCCUACGGGAGGCAGCAGUGAGGAAUAUUGGUCAAUGGACGCAAGUCUGAACCAGCCAUGCCGCGUGAAGGAUGAAGGCCUUCUGGGUUGUAAAACUCUUUCACCUGUGAAGAUAAUGACGGUAGCAGGAGAAGAAGCACCGG
rnacentral:rRNA from 1 species